rnacentral:rRNA from 1 species
AUUGAACGCUGGCGGCAGGCCUACCACCUGCAAGUCGAACGAGUGGCGGACGGGUGAGUAAUGUCUGGGAAACUGCCUGAUGGAGGGGGAUACCUACUGGAAACGGUAGCUAAUACCGCAUACCAUUGGAUGUGCCCCUAUGGGAUUAGCUCGUCGGUGGGGUAAAGGCUCACCUAGGCGACGAUCCCUAGCUGGGCUGAGAGGAUGACCAGCCAGACUGGAACGGAGAAACGGUCCAGACUCCUACGGGAGGCAGCAGUGGGGAAGAUUGAACAAUGGGCGAAAGCCUGAUGCAGCCAUGCCGAGUGUAGGAGGAAGGCCGUCGGGUUGUAAAGUACGUUCAGCGGGGAGGCGUUACCCGCAGAAGAAGCACCGGCUAACUCCGUGCCAGCAGCCGCGGGAAUAC